UACGGAGGGUGCAAGCGUUAAUCGGAAUUACUGGGCGUAAAGCGCACGUAGGUGGUUGCUUAAGUCGGUUGUGAAAGCCCCGGGCUCAACCUGGGAAUUGCAGUCGAUACUGGGCAACUCGAGUUCGGAAGAGGGAAGUGGAAUUCCAGGUGUAGCGGUGAAAUGCGUAGAGAUCUGGAGGAAUACCGGUGGCGAAGGCGGCCCCCUGGACAAAGACUGACGCUGAGGCGCGAAAGCGUGGGGAGCAAACUCG
rnacentral:misc_RNA from 1 species